AGAGUUUGAUCCUGGCUCAGGAUGAACGCUAGCUACAGGCUUAACACAUGCAAGUCGAGGGGCAGCAUGGUCUUAGCUUGCUAAGGCCGAUGGCGACCGGCGCACGGGUGAGUAACGCGUAUCCAACCUGCCUUACACUCUUGGACAGCCUUCUGAAAGGGAGAUUAAUACAAGAUGUUAUCAUGAGUAAGCAUUUUCACAUGAUUAAAGGUUUACCGGUGUAAGAUGGGGAUGCGUUCCAUUAGAUAGUAGGCGGGGUAACGGCCCACCUAGUCUUCGAUGGAUAGGGGUUCUGAGAGGAAGGUCCCCCACAUUGGAACUGAGACACGGUCCAAACUCCUACGGGAGGCAGCAGUGAGGAAUAUUGGUCAAUGGACGAGAGUCUGAACCAGCCAAGUAGCGUGAAGGAUGAAGGUUCUAUGGAUUGUAAACUUCUUUUAUACGGGAAUAAACGAAUCCACGUGUGGAUUUUUGCAUGUACCGUAUGAAUAAGGAUCGGCUAACUCCGUGCCAGCAGCCGCGGUAAUACGGAGGAUCCGAGCGUUAUCCGGAUUUAUUGGGUUUAAAGGGAGCGUAGAUGGGUUGUUAAGUCAGUUGUGAAAGUUUGCGGCUCAACCGUAAAAUUGCAAUUGAUACUGGCAGUCUUGAGUACAGUUGAGGUAGGCGGAAUUCGUGGUGUAGCGGUGAAAUGCUUAGAUAUCACGAAGAACUCCGAUUGCGAAGGCAGCCUACUAACCUGUAACUGACAUUGAUGCUCGAAAGUGUGGGUAUCAAACAGGAUUAGAUACCCUGGUAGUCCACACGGUAAACGAUGAAUACUCGCUGUAGGCGAUAUACAGUCUGCGGCCAAGCGAAAGCAUUAAGUAUUCCACCUGGGGAGUACGCCGGCAACGGUGAAACUCAAGGAAUUGACGGGGGCCCGCACAAGCGGAGGAACAUGUGGUUUAAUUCGAUGAUACGCGAGGAACCUUACCUGGGCUUAAAUUGCAACCGAAUAUGGCGGAAACGCUAUAGCUAGCAAUAGCGGUUGUGAAGGUGCUGCAUGGUUGUCGUCAGCUCGUGCCGUGAGGUGUCGGCUUAAGUGCCAUAACGAGCGCAACCCUUGCCGAUAGUUACUAACAGGUUAUGCUGAGGACUCUGUCGGGACUGCCAUCGUAAGAUGUGAGGAAGGUGGGGAUGACGUCAAAUCAGCACGGCCCUUACGUCCGGGGCUACACACGUGUUACAAUGGGGGGUACAGAGGGCUGCUACCACGCAAGUGGAUGCCAAUCCCAAAAACCUCUCUCAGUUCGGAUUGAAGUCUGCAACCCGACUUCAUGAAGCUGGAUUCGCUAGUAAUCGCGCAUCAGCCACGGCGCGGUGAAUACGUUCCCGGGCCUUGUACACACCGCCCGUCAAGCCAUGGGAGCCGGGGGUACCUGAAGUGCGUAACCGCAAGGAGCGCCCUAGGGUAAAACUGGUGACUGGGGCUAAGUCGUAACAAGGUAGCCG
rnacentral:rRNA from 1 species